GGUCAAGUGAAUAAGGGCAUACGGUGGAUGCCUUGGCAGAGACAGGCGAUGAAGGACGUGGAUACCUGCGAAAAGCCUCGGGGAGCUGGUAAGCAAGCUUGAUCCGGGGAUAUCCGAAUG
rnacentral:rRNA from 1 species